UUAUCAAUUUGACACUAAUUAAUAAAGCGCCUAAAAAUUGUUUCACCCAGGGCGAGGCUCAACCAUUGCACUCCGGUUGUGCUGACCUCUGCGAAUUCCCCAAAUGUGGGAAUCUCGAUUGCAUAAUUUCUGGUAGUGGGGGACUGCGUUCGCGCUCUCCCCUG